rnacentral:lncRNA from 1 species
UACAGAAACUUGAAGAACAACAUCAUUUCAGUCAGGAGUACCAAAAAGAGCUUUUAAGAAAACGGAAGCAGAAAAUGGCAUAGAAGAAGCUGAACCUAAAAUAUUCAGUGAGUAAUAGUCUCCUGUGCUUUGAAGGGCACCAGCAGUGUAAGGAAGGCUAUUUGUAAGGGAUUUGGCAUUGUGCCUGUCAGUGACUUCAGUGAGUGACAGCAGGGUCAGUGGAGUGACAGGUAGUGAGGGCUUGUAGAUAAACCAGUUGAAGUCAGAAGGCAAAGGAUCCUUUGAUGUAGUCCAUUCAGAGCAGAAGGAGAAGAAUGCAGAGUGGAUCUGCAGGGACAAAUAGAAGAUGCAGCGCAAUGGAGAUACUGUUUAAUGCCGCAGGGGACCUGGGCUCUUUUCGUCUCUCCUAUGUAAAGAGAAUUUCCUCCAUCCAAGUAAAACUGAUGCGAUCGGUCAGCUUUCUAGACAACAGAAAUAAAUAAUUCUCUCUGUGAG